rnacentral:rRNA from 1 species
GACGAACGCUGGCGGCGUGCUUAACACAUGCAAGUCGAACGAAGAGCGAUGGAAGCUUGCUUCUAUCAAUCUUAGUGGCGAACGGGUGAGUAACGCGUAAUCAACCUGCCCUUCAGAGGGGGACAACAGUUGGAAACGACUGCUAAUACCGCAUACGAUCUAACCUCGGCAUCGAGGAUAGAUGAAAGGUGGCCUCUACAUGUAAGCUAUCACUGGAGGAGGGGAUUGCGUCUGAUUAGCUAGUUGGAGGGGUAACGGCCCACCAAGGCGAUGAUCAGUAGCCGGUCUGAGAGGAUGAACGGCCACAUUGGGACUGAGACACGGCCCAGACUCCUACGGGAGGCAGCAGUGGGGAAUCUUCCGCAAUGGACGAAAGUCUGACGGAGCAACGCCGCGUGAGUGAGGACGGCCUUCGGGUUGUAAAGCUCUGUUAAUCGGGACGAAAGGCCUUCUUGCGAAUAGUUAGAAGGAUUGACGGUACCGGAAUAGAAAGCCACGGCUAACUACGUG